ACUUAAAGAGCACCUAUUAUGGGAUACACGUUUUUAAACAUCCUUUUGUGUGUAAGUGUGCAUAAGUACAUGCUAACGAUAUUCAAGAAGUACAUACCUCAAAGAAAACGAUGACACGAGUUAUCGUCUCUAACGUUCGAGGACUACAAAAAACACUCGGAUUGUAGGCAACAGUUUACUUCCUGGGAUUGGUGACGUAGAUAAGACCAACAUUAUCAUAGUUCAGCCCUCUCUGCUUUGCUUGGGUACGCCCUCAAAGACGAGGGUGGGGAGCGCCGAGUCAGAAGACAGCUAAAAUGGCGGAGGUUGUGAGUUCCUGCUUUGACCCUGUUUGCAAGCUCUUGUUUCAUUGUUUAAGCGAUUAAAUCUCUCGAGUAGACGCUGUCUCUUUAGAUGCGAGGGCAAAAUAGCACUUUAUGGACUUCCACAGAGGACAUCAUGUUUAAUACGGUUCCGGAAAAAUCCAGUCAGAAGUUGUUCACGGAGUUUUCACAAUAACUGCUUCUCAUGAACCGAAGCUGGAUUUGCGCGAAGUCUCCUCUUGAAAGUUGGAUUACUGCACUUCUGGAUCACAGGCUAUUCGCAGCUGGACACAUCCUUCUACACUGUAUGCAAACAUGCAACAUCAUUACACACAGUACAAGGAGUCAGACUGGCAUAUGAGGAGCAAAGGAACCCAGGCAGUAGCAUCGUUUCACAAUGUUUCCAUCACCAUCAUCAGUGGAUGCCUUUGCUGUCCGUAGCCUGAGAUUUCAGAUUUGCAGCAAAAAAAAUUUUAUUUUCUCAUUUAUUGGAAUGCUGUGCAGGUAUUUGUACCUUGCAGCCAUCCAUUACAAUGUCACCAAGCCGUAACAAAAGCAGGAGAGGGAAAGUACAAGGCUAUGUUCCCAAAACACACAAGUGACAUACCUUAUGUGGAUGAUGUGAUCAGGCUUGUGUUUGAUGAGGUAUUUGAAGAUAAGCUGAAGGAAGCCCUGAUUCCAAUGGACCUGGCAUCACAGUUUGAGAGACCUUCAAAGGAGGACGUGAUUGCAUGCCAUCUUCAGUGCAG